rnacentral:rRNA from 1 species
AGAGUUUGAUCCUGGCUCAGGAUGAACGCUAGCGGCAGGCCUAACACAUGCAAGUCGAGGGGCAGCGGGAAAAGUACUUGUACUUUUUGCCGGCGACCGGCGCACGGGUGCGUAACGCGUAUACAACCUACCUUUAACAGGGGGAUAAUCCGAAGAAAUUUGGUCUAAUACCCCAUAAUAUUUGAGACGGCAUCGUUUCGAGUUGAAAACUCCGGUGGUUAAAGAUGGGUAUGCGUUGUAUUAGUUAGUUGGUAAGGUAACGGCUUACCAAGACUAUGAUACAUAGGGGGACUGAGAGGUUAACCCCCCACACUGGUACUGAGACACGGACCAGACUCCUACGGGAGGCAGCAGUGAGGAAUAUUGGUCAAUGGACGCAAGUCUGAACCAGCCAUGCCGCGUGCAGGAUGACGGCUCUAUGAGUUGUAAACUGCUUUUGUACAGGGGGUAAACUUGGAUACGUGUAUCCAACUGAAAGUACUGUACGAAAUAAAGGAUCGGCUAAACUCCGUGCCAAGCAGCCCGCGGUAAAUACGGGAGGGAUUUCAAGGCGUUUAUCCGGAUUUAUUGGGUUUUAAAGGGGUGCGUAGGGCGGUUUGAUAAGUUAGGGGUGAAAUACCGGGGCUCAACCUCGGAACUGCCUCUAAUACUGUUGAACUAGAGAAUAGUUGCUGUUGGCGGGAAUGUGUAGUGUAGCGGUGAAAUGCUUAGAUAUUACACAGAACACCGAUUGCGAAGGCAGCUGACAAAGCUAUUUCUGACGCUGAGGCACGAAAGCGUGGGGAGCGAACAGGAUUAGAUACCCUGGUAGUCCACGCAGUAAACGAUGAUAACUCGUUGCAGGCGAUACACAGUCUGUGACUUAGCGAAAGCGUUAAGUUAUCCACCUGGGGAGUACGUUCGCAAGAAUGAAACUCAAAGGAAUUGACGGGGGGGCCCGCACAAGCGGAGGAACAUGUGGUUUAAUUCGAUGAUACGCGAGGAACCUUACCCGGGCUUGAAAGUUAGUGACAGACCAAGAAAUUGGUUCUUCCUUCGGGACACGAAACUAGGUGCUGCAUGGUUGUCGUCAGCUCGUGCCGUGAGGUGUCGGGUUAAGUCCCAUAACGAGCGCAACCCCUACUGUUAGUUGCCAUCGAGUAAUGUCGGGAACUCUAACAGGACUGCCGGUGUAAACCGCGAGGAAGGUGGGGAUGACGUCAAAUCAGCACGGCCCUUACGUCCGGGGCGACACACGUGUUACAAUGGUCGGUACAGAGGGCAGCUACCUGGUGACAGGAUGCAAAUCUCGAAAGCCGAUCUCAGUUCGGAUUGGAGGCUGAAACUCGCCUCCAUGAAGUUGGAUUCGCUAGUAAUCGCGCAUCAGCCAUGGCGCGGUGAAUAAAUCACUAGUGAAUUCGCGGCCGCCUGCAGGUCGACCAUAUGGGAGAGCUCCC